rnacentral:rRNA from 1 species
UACGUAGGUGUCGAGCGUUGUCCGGAUUUAUUGGGCGUAAAGGGCGCGUAGGCGGCGCGGUAUGUCACCUGUGAAAUCUCCUGGCUCAACUGGGAGCUUGCAGGCGAAACUGCCGUGCUGGAGUGUGGGAGGGGUGCGUGGAAUUCCCGGUGUAGAGGUGAAAUUCGUAGAUAUCGGGAGGAACACCAGUGGCGAAGGCGGCUUUCUGGACAGACACUGACGCUGAUAACGCGAAAGCGUGGGGAUCAAACAGG